ACGGCUCAGUAACACGUGGACAACCUACCCUCAGCACGGGGAUAAACCCGGGAAACUGGGUAUAAUACCCGAUAGUUCUGGGAUGCUGGAAUGCUUCCAGGACGAAAGCUCCGGCGACUGAGGAUGGGUCUGCGGCCUAUCAGGUAGUAGUGGGUGUAAUGUACCUACUAGCCUACGACGGGUACGGGUCGUGAGAGCGAGAGCCCGGAGAUGGAUUCUGAGACACGAAUCCAGGCCCUACGGGGUGCAGCAGGCGCGAAAACUUUACAAUGCUGGCAACAGCGAUAAGGGGACCUCGAGUGCCAGGAUACAAUCUUGGCUGUCGUGAUGCCUAAAAAGCAUUGCAUAGCAAGGGCCGGGCAAGACCGGUGCCAGCCGCCGCGGUAACACCGGCGGCUCGAGUGGUAACCGCUAUUAUUGGGUCUAAAGGGUCUGUAGCCGGCCGGAUAAGUCUUUUGGGAAAUCCAGCUGCUCAACAGUUGGGCUUUCAGAAGAUACUGUUCGGCUCGAGGCCGGGAGAGGUGAGAGGUACUUCAGGGGUAGGGGUGAAAUCUUGUAAUCCUUGAAGGACCACCAGUGGCGAAGGCGUCUCACCAGAACGGUCCUGACGGCAAGGGACGAAAGCUAGGGGCACGAACCGGAUUAGAUACCCGGGUAGUCCUAGCCGUAAACGAUACUCGCUAGGUGUCAGCCACGGUGCGACCGUGGUUGGUGCCGUAGGGAAGCCGUGAAGCGAGCCACCUGGGAAGUACGGCCGCAAGGCUGACACUUAAAGGAAUUGGCGGGGGAGCAC
rnacentral:rRNA from 1 species